rnacentral:rRNA from 1 species
CGAGAACUCUCGCAGGCUUACAUACCAAGUCGAGCGGGCCCUUCGGGGUCAGCGGCGGACGGGUGAGUAACGCGUGGGAACGUGCCUUCUGGUUCGGAAUAACCCUGGGAAACUAGGGCUAAUACCGGAUACGCCCUUUUGGGGAAAGGUUUACUGCCGGAAGAUCGGCCCGCGUCUGAUUAGCUAGUUGGUGGGGUAACGGCCUACCAAGGCGACGAUCAGUAGCUGGUCUGAGAGGAUGAUCAGCCACACUGGGACUGAGACACGGCCCAGACUCCUACGGGAGGCAGCAGUGGGGAAUAUUGGACAAUGGGCGCAAGCCUGAUCCAGCCAUGCCGCGUGAGUGAUGAAGGCCUUAGGGUUGUAAAGCUCUUUUAUCCGGGACGAUAAUGACGGUACCGGAGGAAUAAGCCCCGGCUAACUUCGUGCCAGCAGCCGCGGUAAUACGAAGGGGGCUAGCGUUGCUCGGAAUCACUGGGCGUAAAGGGCGCGUAGGCGGCGUUUUAAGUCGGGGGUGAAAGCCUGUGGCUCAACCACAGAAUGGCCUUCGAUACUGGGGACGCUUGAGUAUGGUAGAGGUUGGUGGAACUGCAAGUGUAAAGGUGAAAUUCCUUAGAAUUUCGCAAGAACACCCGUGGGGAAGGCGGCCCAACUGGACCAUUUCUGACGCUGAAGCCCCGAAAGCGUGGGGAGCCAAACGGGAUUAGAAUUCCCUGGGUAGUCCCACGCC